rnacentral:rRNA from 1 species
UAAACGACUCUAGGCAACGGAUAUCUCGGCUCACGCAUCGAUGAAGAACGUAGCAGAAUGCGAUACUUGGUGUGAAUUGCAGAAUCCCGUGAACCAUCGAGUUUUUGAACGCAAGUUGCGCCCGAAGCCUUCUGGCUGAGGGCACGUCUGCCUGGGCGUCACGC